rnacentral:tRNA from 1 species
GGGGAUUUAGCUCAGUGGAAGAGCGCUUGCCUAGAAAGCGAAAGUCCCUGGGUUUGGUUCCCAGCUCCG